UACCAUCAAUGAACACUUUUUUUUGUGUGUUAGUGGGAGAAGAUAUGUUCUGAAACGCAACAUGAUGUAGACGCUGAAAAGAGCUGUGCAACAAGUGAUGGUGCAAGAACUUAGAACGGAAUAAUUGGAGACCAGCCCUGUGGAACAAUGUAGAGAAGUUGUAAUUUGAUGCUUAAUUGUCUACCUCUUGGAAAAUCCUGAGAAUCUCAUCAAGCAUUAUCAGGAUACUCAUGGGAACAAGGAGGAACUGG